rnacentral:rRNA from 1 species
GAUGAACGCUGGCGGUAUGCCUAACACAUGCAAGUCGUACGAGAGUUUUUAACUCUAGUGGCGGACGGGUGAGUAACACGUGAGAAUUUGCCUUUAGGAGGGGAUAACAAUUGGAAACGAAUGCUAAUACCCCAUAUGCUUUUGAGUGAAAUGGAUUUUAUCCGCCUAGAGAGAAGCUCGCGGCUGAUUAGCUUGUUGGUAAGGUAAGAGCUUACCAAGGCGACGAUCAGUAUCUGGUUUGAGAGGACGAUCAGACACACUGGAACUGAGACACGGUCCAGACUCCUACGGGAGGCAGCAGUGGGGAAUUUUCCGCAAUGGGCGAAAGCCUGACGGAGCAAUACCGCGUGAGGGAAGAAUGCCUAUGGGUUGUAAACCUCUUUUUUCUAGGGAGGAAUAAAAAUAGACGUGUACCUGAAGAAUAAAGCAUCGGCUAACUCCGUG